rnacentral:sRNA from 1 species
GCUGGGCGUGGUGGUGGGCGCCUGUAAUCCCAGCUACUUGGGAGGCUGAGUCAGGAGAACUGCUUGAACCUGGGAGGUGGAGGUUGCAGUGAGCUGAGAUUGGGCCACUGCACUCCAGCCUAGGUGACAGAGCAAGACUCUGUCUCAA